rnacentral:rRNA from 1 species
AUUGAACGCUGGCGGCAGGCCUAACACAUGCAAGUCGCACGAGUGGCGGACGGGUGAGUAAUGUCUGGGAAACUGCCUAACGGAGGGGGAUAACUACUGGAAACGGUAGCUAAUACCGCAUACCAUCGGAUGUGCCCAGAUGGGAUUAGCUAGUAGGUGGGGUAAAGGCUCACCUAGGCGACGAUCCCUAGCUGGUCUGAGAGGAUGACCAGCCACACUGGAACUGAGACACGGUCCAGACUCCUACGGGAGGCAGCAGUGGGGAAUAUUGCACAAUGGGCGAAAGCCUGAUGCAGCCAUGCCGCGUGUAUGAAGAAGGCCUUCGGGUUGUAAAGUACUUUCAGCGGGGAGGCGUUACCAACAGAAUAAGCACCGGCUAACUUCGUGCCAGCCGCCGCGGUAAUUC